UGCCUACGGGACGCAGCAGUGGGGAAUAUUGGACAAUGGGGGAAACCCUGAUCCAGCGACGCCGCGUGAGUGAAGAAGUAUUUCGGUAUGUAAAGCUCUAUCAGCAGGGAAGAAAAUGACGGUACCUGACUAAGAAGCUCCGGCUAACUACGUGCCAGCAGCCGCGGUAAUACGUAGGGGGCAAGCGUUAUCCGGAAUUACUGGGUGUAAAGGGAGCGUAGACGGUUAAGUAAGUCUGGAGUGAAAGGCC
rnacentral:rRNA from 1 species